GCUUUCGUGGUGUAACGGUAGCACACUCGGCGUGUAUUCGAGAGGACUGGUUUCGAGUCCCGACGAGGGCA
rnacentral:tRNA from 1 species